UGUAUAUUUUAUAAUUCCUCAUGGUAAUCCCAUCUGAUCCCUACAGUACUCUCAUUUUGACUCAAGAAAAUCACCACCGGGGGAGGGGAUAAAUACAGUUGUAAUUGGGGAAAAUAAAUACAGUGGUACCUCAGUUUUCAAACAGCUUAGUUCUCAAACUACUUGCAACCUGAACUCUUCAAACCCAGAAACAAGUGUUCCAGUUUUGGAACUUUUUUUGGAAGCCGAACAUGCUCUGUUCUGAGUAUAACUUCCGUUUUGAGUGCCAUACUUCUGUUUUCCUUGUGAGGGAAGGCGGGCCGGGUGGCAAGUAGGCAUGGGAUGGGGCUGCUCCGCUAGGCAGCGUUGCUGCUUGCAUGGGAAGAGGAGCUGGAUGGGGGCUGCUGAGCUGGGGAGGGGCAGGCUCCGUCACCCUUUCCGUUGAGGGGUUUGAGGCUGCACUCCCCUCAAGGGAGAAUUUUAAAGGAGCCCCCCCUCCGCCUCAGAUCCCCUGCAACCCCGUGAAGGCAGCCAGGCUGAAUAGUUGCUGGGGUUGGGGAAGGUGGAGGCAGCCCGGAAGCUGCAUCUGAGAGCCUCUGCACCACUUGAAGGCAGCCAGCCGCUCCUCAGCGGAGCUUCCUACUUGUGUGCAAGGAGGAGUGGAGGCAGGGAUCUCUCAGCGCAAAGCCUCCACUUCUGAGAGAUCUCCGCCCUGCUCCUGAACAGGGCUGCCUUCAGAGGUCUUCCAAAAGAGAUUGAGACCUUUGUUGCAACAAAUAAAUGAUCAGCCCUUCUGGCCACUGAUUUGUUUCCUCAUUGCUUGCCUGCUGGCUCGCGUUUUCUGAUCAAUCCAGCAUCCGCAGGGCUAGACUCCAGCAAAGUUGGAAAGCUCUGCCGGGGCUGCUGCUUCUGUCUUCUCCGGCCCACGCAGCCUCCUGCCCUGCCCUGGCACCUGGCUGGAAAAGCCCAACUGGGGCUAUUGGGACGACAACUGGGACAGGUAAAGCCAAACAUCUUCAGGCCUCUUUGCAGACAGGCCAAAAUCGCUCAUUUCCCCAAAAAAUAUAGUCCGGUCCCCAACAAGGUCUGAGGGACAGUGGACUGGCCCCCUGCUGAAAAAGUCUGCUGACCCUGAUCUAGUAGAUCCAUUGUUGUAACCAUAUCAAAAAAGUAUUUGGUAUUUUGCCUUCUUUUGAGACACUUUCCCUCAGUGUUCUGUCAUAGUCCAGUGAUCCUACUCCAUUAAAUUCACCCGUAAUAAUUAUAUUUCUGUCAUAAACCUCAGACAUACUUUCCUCCAAUA